AUGACUAGGGAUAACCUUAGGAAGAGACACAUCAUCAAACCCCUUGAUUGUGUUUACUGCUUGGAACAAGAGUCUUGUUCUCACCUAUUUUUUGAAUGUAUAGUUGCUAAACAUCUCUGGGCCCACAAUGAGGAAUAUUUCUCUAGUCAGAUUGGCUCAUCCUUUGAAUCUGUCGCCAGAUUCUGGAUUGCUACCAAAAAGUGCUCAUUUUUAAACAUUGUUAGCUCAGCUGUCCUUUGGUACCUCUGGAAAUAUAGAAAUGCUAUGAUUUUCAGUAACACCUCCUGGAUUUCCAUUCCGCGGGUCUUGAGGUUGAUCGGGAACAUGGUGAGGAAUUGGGCGAUUCUCUCCUCCGGGUCGGACAAGGACAGGUUGACGAACUUCAUGGAAACCCUAACAAGAUCCCUCCAGAAACUGUUGGCGAUCACUUGUGGCUGA
rnacentral:rRNA from 1 species